UUUCGAUGUUGUGUAGCCCUUAUGCAUUUUGAUUGACAUAUUUGAUGACUGCAUGGGUAUAUAAGCUCCGGCUUUGCUUCAAGUAGCUUUUAUCUACAAAUAUGAGUGUCUUUCACGACACAAUUGUACAAAAGUUUAGUUCGUUUUACUUGUAACACGUUAUUAGCAUGAAUUGAAACAAAAAAAAUGAGUGAAAAUAUCAAAGUUGUAGUUCGAUGUCGUCCCAUGAAUCGAAGUGAAAUUGAAAGUAAAUGUGAAAACAUUGUUGAAUUUAAUAAAUAUGCCGUUUCAGUAAGAAACACUUCUACUCUUUUUUCUCCGAAAAAGAUGUUUAUAUUUGAUAGUGCUUAUGAUAUGAUCACAAAAACUGAAGUGAUUUAUAACGAAAUGUGCUACUCACUUGUAGAAAGUACUCUCGAAGGAUACAAUGGAACUAUUUUUGCUUACGGCCAGACAGGUUGUGGAAAAACACAUACAAUGCAGAUUGGUACUUACUCAGUUAGCUCCUUGAUCUGCACUGCAAACUUUCGUCUUCUUGGAGUAAGAUAAUCACCGCAACCACUUUAUUCGCAACAUUUACACUUAACAC